GAUCCCCUGCUGUGGCUGAUAGCACAGCAGGGGAUGCUGUUACACACAGCACAAUAAUUUAAUUUAAAAUAAUAAUAAUAAAAUAUUAAUAUAUUUUUUUAUAAAAUAAUGUAUUGUGUGUGUAAAUAUUGGCACUGCCCCUGCUGUGCACAGCAGGGGAUCCUUGCCCCAAAUAGAGUGCUCUACACCUAAUUAUAUACAAGAAGUGAAUAGCUAUGUCUUAGCUAUUCUAAAGGACAAAGUCUACAAGUUUGACUCUAGCUAGAAUUGGUAAUGGAAUCAAGGAAAGCUUGAGCAUGAGUCAUCUUCUCAUCCCUUCUCGAUUUCCAGCCCCACAACACUCCAAUUGUGCAGCCCCUAACCUACAAAGUUUACACCAAAAAAAGAGGUUAGUUUGGAACCUAUAAAUAAAGGAAAGGGAGGACCCAAGCUCAAUUAAGAAGAGGAAUAGUAGAGCUAUAUAGGUCAGUCAUUAGGCUGCAAAUUAGAGCUGGGAUCAGCCACAUUUUGACCCUUCUCAACUUGCACCAAUAAGGAAUCAAACAAAGCUGCCACAAGAUAAGAGAACUCAACCACAAGCCAAGGAUGGGAAGUUAGAACUCCCUUUUAACAGUCAAGGGAGGACUCCCUUCCCUCAAGAAUUUCACCAAAAUAAGCAGGGAAGCCUAUUCAACAAGCUCAAAAGAAGGAGAAACAUGUAGUUCAAAGUAGCAAGUUACACUCCCUAAAAUCUGCCACAAAAGACAAGGGAAUUUGCCUAUAAAUGCCGUCGCCUCCGCCCCAAACUACACUCUGUUAAAUUCCACAAGGUGAGGAGUGCGACGGAGUGAGGAGCAGCGACGGCGCAAGGCGACGGCAGUAAAGAGGGCAGCCACAACCGAGAAUCACCAAGCAAGGUAAUCCCAACAACCCCUCUUUGCAUCACAUGAGUAACAAGAACAUAGAGAUAUCACCAACAAUUAGAUACCAUAGCCCCUGCCGAGAAUGGAAAUGGCGGAUAGAACUUGCACACAUAUAGUAGUUCAAGCAUAGCAGUGUGAAUAAAAUCAUCCCAGUAAGAUAGAUUGUCCCCAAAAUCACAACUUUAAACCACAAGAAGCAAAUGGAAAUUUCACAUAGCUACUGCCAUAACUCAAAGAAACUGAGAAAAAGGGAAUGGAGAAAAGGGACUUAGCUUUAGGGGAAGGAGCUGCUCGGCGGAGGGGGCUGACGCGAGUCGCCGGCAACGGUGUGACUCCCAGCGGAAAUGUCAAACUCCCGGAGAAAGGCAGAGAGAUCAGCGUCGAGAGCCUGAUACGCCGGCAAGGACCCUCCCUCGCGAAGGAGACAGCGGCGCGGGACGACGGCGGGCUCCGAGGGUGCUGUUGGGGUGGCAGCGUUUCGCCGAGAGCGAGAGAGAUGGCUCGGAGACCGACGAGCUGCCGCCGACGAACUAAGCUGAGAAAGAAAGUGAGAGAGAUGAGAUGGCGCAGUUCUAGAGUGAUAGAGGGAGAUUGGGGGUCUUGACGGAGAAGAUAACCGGCUGAUUUCCGGCAGUGAGCACUGGGGACAGAGGCAGAUAUUUGAUUUGGGUUCUCAGAUUGGGGAAGAAUGAAAGUGAGGAAUGGGAUUAGAGAGAGGGAAGGAUGGGUUGAUUACUUGGUUGAUUUAUUUGGGCCAAGGGAUUUGUUUGUUGGGCCAAUAAUAAAAAAAAUGAUGGGCUGCAGAUUAUUAAAGGGAGACUUGGGCUAGUAUAUUUAAUUACUUGGGCAGAUUGGAGCAAGAGAAAAAAAGUUGUGAUUCGUAUUUAAUUGUUGGGAUGAAAAAAAUUGAUCCUUAGGCCAAAAUAAACCAAAGGGGGAGAAGAGCAGUUGAGUCAGACGGAAUUAUUUUACGAAGGAGCUUGGGCUGAAAUUAAGUUGGUCUUAUGCUAGAAUUCUAAUUAAGUUCUUGGGCCAUGAUUAAUUAGGGCAUGCAUUCUAAUUCUAAUUAAAAGUUUAAGAAUUUUCUUAAGUCUUGUUAGUAAGUUGUGUUGUUUUCAAAAAGGUUAUCUCCGCGAGCUAAGGUCGGAGUCAGGAUAAAUCAAGUUAAGAAGUUUUAAGCGAACGAGGUUGAGCAGUGAUGACGGCGGGCGGUGUUGAGCAUAGACGAUGAAGAUCCUUCGAUAAGAAUAGUACUCGGAUGCGGCGUGUCUCUAUACACAACGUCAUCUACUCUUGACUCUUCCGCUGCAAUGUAAAAAAAUCGAGUUUGCACUAUGUAUCAUGCACUUUGAUAUAUAUAUACUAUUUGAGUUAUUUCGGUUCAA